GAAUGUGCUCGAGAAGGUUCCACUUCCCACAUCGGAAGCGCACAUUGUACAUAUUGAGUUUCUUUUAAAAAAAAAAAAAUUCUAAGGAACAAAAAUAAAUAAAUAAAUAAAAUCUAAAGUUUCUUGCACUCCAGGCACACCUUAUGUUUCCUGUUUCUCCUCUAAAACCCCGUUUCGUGUUUUCUUUAUUUCCAUUAUUGGACCCUCUAAAACCCUAAACCCUCUUUUAUCUACCUGAUUCAUCUUUCACAAAUGUUGAUGUCUAGGGCAUUCUCAUGCGUUUCCAGGACGGUCGUUGCACGCUCCUUGCUUCUCUAUGCUCCUAAGAACCUUCAUACGCCAACCAUUUCCACUCAAUUUCACUCUCUUGUUCCUGAAUCUCAUAAUAAGUUGGUGACAAUUGAUGUGUCUCUGCUACAUCAUUCAAGCCUCAAUUUCUAUGCACUCCAACGAUUACAUAUCUCUUCAUUUGCCUCUCCCAAGCCUUCCGAAAAGGAUCAUGAGGGUGAUGUAGAAAAUAAUGGUCAAGAGCCUAUAAAACCAGGUGGGGAUACAAAUCCUGGAGAGGCUGAAGUUACUGAUCAAGCAAAAGAAUCAGGUUCUGAAAGUGAUGGUGAACUAUCAAUGGCCGAUAUGGUCAAACUUGUCCAGGAGAAAGAAGGACUCUUGGAAGUCAAGCAAAUGGAGAUUGAACAAAUGAAGGACAAAGUUGUUCGCACUCUUGCAGAAAUGGAGAAUGUUAUGGCUAGAACAAGACGUGAAGCUGAGAACUCGAAGAAAUUUGCCAUACAGAAUUUUGCAAAGGGCCUACUAGAUGUUGCAGACAAUUUAGGAAGGGCUUCUACUCAUGUUAAAGGCAGUUUCGCUAAGGUAGAUGAGUCCAAAGACACUGCUGGAGCUGUACCUCUUUUAAAAACACUUCUAGAAGGAGUUGAAAUGACCGAGAAACAGCUUGGAGAGGUAUUUAGGAAGUUUGGAGUGGAAAAAUUCGAUCCUACAAAUGAACCAUUUGAUCCACACAGGCAUAAUGCAGUAUUCCAAGUACCAGAUAAUGCUAAGCCUCCUGGCAUGGUCGCUCAUGUUUUGAAGUUUUUUCAAGUAUUGGAAGAGUCGUAUAUCUGUACCUAUGAGUUCGAAAGAAGUAUUUCAUGAAAAAAGAAUUAGAGUAACUGUACAUAGUGAUGUGAGCUUCGGGACAGCUAGUCCCGUUGUAUUUCUCAAAUUUCGGAGUUUUGAACUUGGGAGGGAGUACCAGGUCCGGAACCAAACUUAAUUCCUUAGCAUCGAUUCCACCACGAUAGUCGGUGCUUUCCAUUUCUUUAAAUUUUUCUUCCAACCAUCUACACCUUUCUUCAAGCUCUUUCGGGAGUUCUACCCUUAUCUUUUCUGCUUCUGUUACUUCAUCAAGAUUGAAGACCACAGGGUUGGUUGGGUUGUCCCCCGGAUUAGAGCCCGAGCCAGCUUGAUAAUUCAUCGGUGCCGAAACACCGGCCUGAAAUGGUUGGGGCCUAAUUGUGACCGAUGGCCUUCUUGGGUACAUGUCAGGUUGUGUCUGAACGUCCGCUGGGGCAAAACCCGGAGGGUAGGCGGGGUACAUGCUUCACGAUCGGGUAAUUCGACCUGCUGAGGUUGGUGUUACUCAAGCACUCAACAAUGAUGCCAACUGAAAACAAUACAAAUGACAAAGGGCUCUGAUGCUUGAUGAUAAGCUAGUUAGAGUCAGUGGCAAAUUUUUCAAAAACCUUGCCUUAUAUACAUGCAUAGUCAUUCAAAACUUCUUUAUUUCUAUAUUUGGCCAUCAAUUUCUUGUUUCACUACUCAUAGAAGAUACCGCUAGGUGAAGAGGGCUUUUUGUACGUUUUCCUCUUUCUGAAGUAAAAUAAAAAGUACAGUUUUCUUGAUGAAAAAGAUUCAGCUGAUUUGGCUGAAAGAAUAUAACAGAAUAGCUUUUCACAAA